AGCUCUCCUCUUAUCUGAGCUCACCCUGGAAUCAAGCCCCACCUCCCUGCUCCAGGCUGAUGCCUCCUAGUAGAGCUUCCUCCCAACACCAGCACCUACAGGCCUGUGAGGCAGGAGCUGGGAUGUUCUGUCCCGGCUGCUCAACCCCCUCACACUGGCUCACAUUUGCAUUCACGGAACAUGCUCAGGGCACAUGCCACACUCCUUUUCAGGACACCCAGGCCUGCGUGAUGAGUUCCUUCCCCAGCAACAGCACCCACCAAACACCAGGGAACAGCAAGGCCACAACCCCACAGGAAAAAGCAGAGAACUUCAGAAAGCAGCAGCUCAGACACAAGGUAUGGCCACAACCCGCAAGCCCACGGCGACAAGGGAUGUUCGCUCACGCGAGGCGAUGGGGAGGAGGACAGAGAGCCUCCUAAGGAGGGGAGGUGUGUACCCUGAUGAGGGGAAAGGCAGACGGAGGGGAAGAUGAAAAGAAGAAGAAGGAGAAGAAAGAAAGAAAGAAGAAGAAGGAGGAGAAGGAGAAGGAGAAGGAGGAGGAGGGGGUAGGGGGAGGAGGAGGGAGGAGAAGGAGGAAAGAGGAAGAAAGGAGAAUUAGGGGAAAAGAAGAAGGAGGAAGAGGGAGGAAGGAAGAGGAGGAAAAGGAGGAGGGAGGAAGAAGAAGGAGGAGGAGAGAAAGGAAAGGGGAAAAAACACUCAAACAUAGAUAUAUAACUUGUCAGAUGUCACCCCGUUUGUAAAGAUGCUGGGAUUUGAACUUAGUCAAUCUGACCCUACAAAUACUAUACUGUCUCCCAGAACACAUUUCCGCUAUGAUAUUCAGUACAUAGUGGUUGUUCAAUAAAUAUUGUUCAAAUGUUGGAUGGGGGAAAGCCAAAGAGAAGCUGUUGAGGAAGAACUGGCCUCCCCAAAGCAGAAUGUGUGAAGCGGACCAUGGCUCCAGCCCCUUCCCUAACAGCUGGGCGUGGAGUCACAGGGGGAUCUGGCAGGAAGACUCAAGACCCUCCAUGGUCAUUCCCUGCCUGAUUUGCCCCAUGGGGCUCUGAGAGUCAGAGCGAGGAACAGCUGCUGGCUUCCCAGGUUCAAAAUCAUCAUCAUCAAGUAUUUAUUAAGCUCCCACUGUGUACAGAGGGGGUUCUAAGGGAUGGGACCAGAGCUGAAUUUAUUUUCAUUUCUAACUGCAGCAGCCUUAGGCAUCAGAAAGGAAGUCACCAUGAUGGAAUUCCCCAGCACACCUGGGGUUUUAAAAGGGAGGCCUCCUCUUCUCUGGUCCUUGAUUCCCCAUCACCCUUUGGCCUCUGUCCAGCUCCCUCCCUAGAUGGGAAGAGGAAAGGGCAGGAGAUCCAUGCACACAUACACGGACACACACCCAGAAAACAUGUUAAGCAGGUGGACACACAUGCACAUGUGUACUAGUCCAUGCAUGUGCACAUGCACACAGGAAGCUUCUAAAGCAGCUCUCCUGACUGGUAAGCAGCAAGUAGCCAGGUCAGGGAGGGACACAGCUCCCCCCAAAUGAGCCCAAAUUACCCUCUGUAUAUAAGUUCUCACCCCUCCAAUCCCCCAUCACCUCUGAUGAUUGAGAGCUAAAUAUUACUUGUAAUUCAAGCCACAACCCCAAACACCUGAUGAUUGCUCUUGCCCAAUAGUCUUGAUUCCGGCCAGGCAUGGUGGCUCAGGCUUAUAAUCCCAACAAUUCAGGAGCCCAAGCCAGGAGGACUGAUUGAAGGCAGGAGUUCAAGACCAGCCUGGACAACAUACCAAGACCCAGUCUCUACAAAAAAAAUUUUUUAAUUAGCUGGACAUAGUGGCAAGUGCCCGUAGUCCAGCUACCCAGGAGGUUGAGGGAGGAGGACUGCUUGAGCCCAAGAGUUUGAGGCUGCAGUGAGCUCGGGUGGCAGAGUGUGAUGCUGUCUCUAAAAAGUUAAAAUAUAAAAUAACAAUCUUGAUUCUUGUUAUCAUCAAUGACGUAGUCAUUCCCCCUACCCCUGCCACCACACACACACACACACACACACACACACAUACGCACACACGCACCCACACACACACACACACACACACACACUACAGGUCACAGCUCCAGGCCUCAGAUGCAAGCCUGGGAUCUCGUGUGUUUUCCCAUGACCAGACCCUCUAGCACCCACCCCCAGCCCCUUCAGGCUCUCCUGCCUUCCCUCUCCUUCCCUUCUGUAUUCUUGAUGUCCCUCCCACUCCUCCAUCCCCAGAUAGAGCCACCUGCUUGAUUCAAGUCUCCAGAUCACAUACUUAAGUUUAAUGAUCUUCCAAUAAAUUAUCAUGAAUAUGUUGUUAGUAGCAAAAAACGUGCUGUUCAUUGUGGUUUUCUAGUGCUGGAUACAGCUUCUGGGCUGCAAAAAAUUCAUUUUGGAGAGCAGGCUCCAGGCCUGGGUAUUCCUGUGCUCACUCCACACCCAGCUGCCUCAGCUAACCUUUCUGGCCAGCCUCAUGCCUCCAGUUCUCCUGGCUGUGCCAGUGGGAUCCAAAUGGGGCCUGUUAGAGCACGUCCUGCCAUCACGGACGAGGAUGAGAAAUAGCUUGGGUGGAGCCCACCAAAGAUCAGUGGUUAUCUGGAAAUGGACUGGAACUUGACAGCUGACGCCACUGAGCCAGCUCAUGCCCCUUGUUACAGCUAUCCUGUCAUGAACAGGAGAAGAACAAUGUCAUGUUUACAGCUUGGGCUCAAGUGUCAGACUGCCCAGGCUGGAGCCCUUCUCUACCGCAGGACAGCUGCGUGACCGCAGGCAAGAUGACCUUCUGAUCAUCCAUAUACAUCUCUUCCUGACUCCACAGUGAUGUCACAUUGGCAGCUUGAAAUCAACCAUGCUAGGAGUAUUUACACCAAGAAAUCAGCUAACACUGUAAAUUAGAGCUUAUGUUUUCCUGGAAGCCGCUUAUUAAACUUUUCCUGGCUGUUGGGUAUGUAUCAGCGCACUGCUGCCGCCUAUGUCAUUAUAUACAGGCUGUGCAUGCCACCCUCUGCCUUUCUGCUCACCAGCACAAGCUUUGCCACUUGCCCACUGUGUGACCAAUUGCUUAUCUUCUCAGGCCUUCAAUUUCCUUAGUUCCAGUGAGAGCACCGGCCAAGUACUUUGUAACUGCCAAGCACCGCCAGGUUAGUGAAUCAGCUGGGAGCGCUCAACCGCAGAGCCUGAUCAUGGCAGGUUUUCCAUGCUGCCCUCCAGAUGCACUGCUCUCAGGUGUCAUCUGUCUGCUGUUGCUGCAUGUCAAAGCCCCACUGUUGAAAAGUCCCCAGUGCUUCCCCUGGCCCCCAGCCACAACCGUGUCUUCACAGCAGCCUGAGUGGAGGCCUUCACCCAUCUUAUAGAUGAGAAAACUGAGACAUUAGACACAUUGUAAAACUUGCCCAGAGUUACUAAUUAAUAACUAGUCAUAAAGCUGGAAUCAAACCCAGGCCUGUCCAACCUCAAAGCUCAAACACUCAACAUAUGUCCUGAAACCCAAAUGCAAAAGAUUCAGUCUUACUGAUAGUGAUUAAACAUUACCACGCGACUCACACAUCAAACCCUCAGGAACUUAGUCUCACUGUAGAGACAAGUUAUACUCACAUGGGUGACAAAAUACAGCAAUGACAAUCCCAAAGGGUGGUCGAGACAGUAGAGUUCACUGAAGGCAGAGGGUUGUCAAGGGUGGCUUCAUGGAGGUGGUGAUACGUAAGCCACAGCUUAAAGAAUGGGGAGUAACUCCUUAUACUGCCCUAAGAUGAGAGGCUGACAAAUUAGGCCUCUUUAGUCUGCAGAGGAGGGUGUGGAGGAGCUUCUUACCCCAGAGAGUACAGGGAGAGUGAACAAGGAAGGUAGGGGUGGCCUUUGGCCAUGCCAGCCACAGCAAGCAUGCUGUCGCUCAGUUCCUGCCCUCCUUCCCUGGCUCAUUCCUCACCACCUUCCUCCUUAAGCCCCAGCAUCGCCGACCUACUGUAGCUCUCCCAUAAGUCAUGCUAUUUCAGCUCAUUAGCCCAUGUGGGUUCAGUCAUUACUGUGUUCUUAUCUGGGAGCUUCGUUACUGGACUAAU